AGCGAACGCUGGCGGCAUGCCUAACACAUGCAAGUCGCACGGGGGGGCUUCGGCCUCCCAGUGGCGGACGGGUGAGGAACGCGUAGGGACCUGUCGAGGGGUGGGGGAUAACCGCGGGAAACUGCGGCUAAUACCGCAUGACGCCGCGGCGUGACAGCCGGGGCCAAAGGCGAAAGCCGCCCGCCGAGGGGCCUGCGUCCGAUUAGCUGGUUGGCGGGGUAGCGGCCCACCAAGGCGUCGAUCGGUAGCUGGUCUGAGAGGGUGAUCAACCACACCGGGACUGAGACACGGCCCGGACGCCUACGGGAGGCAGCAGUGGGGAAUAGUGGACAAUGGGCGCAAGCCUGAUCCAGCAAUGCCGCGUGGGUGAAGAAGGUCUUCGGAUUGUAAAGCCCUUUCGGCGGGGACGAUGGUGACGGUACCCGCAGAAGAAGCCCCGGCUAACUUCGUG
rnacentral:rRNA from 1 species